GCUGCUGCUCGCAGCUGCUGGAUUUUGGAUGUGUCUCCCGUGCUGUUCUCCGGAGUGCUGAUUGCUGCCUCCGUUAUGCUGAUUUCUGAGGAAACUGUACAGAGUAUAUCUGGCUGAUGCCUACCAUUAAGCCCUGGUGUUGGGAGCACCCCCAUGACGGAAGGGAAGAUACCCAAAGGGCAUCCAUGCUUGUGAAACUGCCUUGCAUAUGCAUGAACCAUUAUCAAUCACACACAGUCAUAUUGCAAUUCAGGGUAAGCUGGUGAUGGUGGAGAGCAUGGGAGAAGGGAGGGCAUGGGGCAUGUGCUUGUGGGAUGGAGGAGGUAUCUAUAGUCAGAAAACAAUUUGAAUGAAAGCAUGCAACUCAUCAGAAGCCAUGGAUUCCAGAAAAAAGCAUGGAUUCCAGCAAACAACUGUCAACUCAGAGUUAUAUGUCCAGCAAAAGUACAUCUCAAGAAUAAAGAGAAAAUCAAGGCAUUUUCAGACAAAGAAAAACUAAGAUAAUUCACUGCUAAUAGGAAAUGUCAACCUACAUAUUAUGUAUAUGGGUCUUGUAAAGAAUUCAAUAUCUGCAAAGUUCAAUAAAACAAAGAGCAAUAAAACAAGAUUGACUGGCGUAACUGCUAUCGACUCCAGCCUCGGUGCUCGCAUUGAUCUGCAAAUGGCCCGGAAUAGCUAAAGAUUCUCGAAUGUGGAAACGAGUUCAAGAAGGCGAGAAACCAAAAAGGGUCGUGGCUAGCCCCUCGCCCAGCACCGCUCUCCGCCACAGACCCGGACGGCGUGUCCAGGACGCCUGACGAGCC